GAUGAACGCUGGCGGCGUGCCUAAUACAUGCAAGUCGAACGAAACUUCUUUAUCACCGAGUGCUUGCACUCACCGAUAAAGAGUUGAGUGGCGAACGGGUGAGUAACACGUGGGCAACCUGCCCGAAAGAGGGGGAUAACACUUGGAAACAGGUGCUAAUACCGCAUAACCAUAGUUACCGCAUGGUAACUAUGUAAAAGGUGGCUAUACUACCGCUUUUGGAUGGGCCCGCGGCGCAUUAGCUAGUUGGUAGGGUAAAGGCUUACCAAGGCAAUGAUGCGUAGCCGAAUUGAGAGGUUGAUCGGCCACAUUGGGACUGAGACACGGCCCAAACUCCUACGGGAGGCAGCAGUAGGGAAUCUUCCACAAUGGGCGAAAGCCUGAUGGAGCAACGCCGCGUGGGUGAAGAAGGUCUUCGGAUCGUAAAACCCUGUUGUUAGAGAAGAAAGUGCGUGAGAGUAACUGUUCACGUUUCGACGGUAUCUAACCAGAAAGCCACGGCUAACUACGUG
rnacentral:rRNA from 1 species